rnacentral:rRNA from 1 species
GUGCCAGCAGCCGCGGUAAGACAGAGGAUGCAAGCGUUACCCGGAUUCACUGGGCGUAAAGGGCGUCUAGGCGGCCAGGUAAGUCACCUGUGAAAGCCCUCAGCUCAACUGAGGAUGGUCAGGUGAUACUGCUCGGCUUGGGUGCAGGAGAGGAGGGUGGAACUCAUAGAGUAGCGGUGGAAUGCGUAGAUACUAUGAGGUACCCCGAUGGCGAAGGCAACCCUCUGGCCUGCUACCGACGCUGAAGCGCGAAAGCGUGGGGAGCAAAGGGGAUUAGAUACCCCCGUAGUCCACGCCCUAAACAAUGUUCACUGGGUGUCGGUCGCUAUAUACAGAUCGGUGCCGAAGCUAACGCGUUAAGUGAACCGCCUGGGGAGUACGGCCGCAAGGCUAAAACUCAAGAGAAUUGACGGGACCCCACACAAGCGGUGGAGCACGUGGUUUAAUUCGAUGAUAAACGAAGAACCUCACCUGGGCUUGACAUGCUAGUGGUAGGAACCGGAAACGGGGACGACCUUUGCCUUCGGGCAGAGGAGCUAGCACAGGUGAUGCAUGGCUGUCGUCAGCUCGUGUCGUGGGACGUUGGGUUAAGUCCCGAAACGAGCGCAACCCCUGUCAUCAGUUGCCAGCGGGUAAUGCCGGGGACUCUGAUGAGACUGCCGAUGAAUAGUCGGAGGAAGGAGGGGAUGAUGUCAAGUCAUCAUGUCCCUUAUGCCCAGGGCGACACACAUGCUACAAUGGAGGGUACAAAGGGUCGCAAUCCCGCAAGGAGGAGCUAAUCCCAAAAAGCCUUCCUCAGUUCGGAUUGAGGUCUGCAACUCGACCUCAUGAAGCCGGAAUCGCUAGUAAUCGCAGGUCAGCCAUACUGCGGUGAAUACGUACUCGGGGUUUGUACACACCGCCCGUCACACCAACCGAGUGGG